UCGGCGUCGCUCAGAGCGUAGCAACAGUUGUCAUGGCGACCAGAGUUUCUCUUGUUAUUGUUUAGGUUUCAUCUUUGUUUUCACUUAUCGUUUCGUCUUUUGACCUUCGAUUUGUUGAACUGUUUCCUGAUGGAACUGCGGUCAUGUUUUGAUACCAACAUUUCUGCAACACCAACAUGCAAGUUUUGCUUUUAUCGGUUAAAAGAGAACAGUUUUUCUCUUGGUUAUUUCAAUGUGUUAAAUAAUUUGUGAAUCACAAGUUGUGAUUGCAUUUUUUUUUCUUUUUGUUUUAGACUGGAAUUUUAUAUUUUAUGAGUGAAUAUUUUCACUGAAAUUGUAACAAAACGUGAUAUUGUAUUUCUUUGGGAACGGAAUUGGUUCAUCUUCGUCUGACUUUGAUCCAAUUAUUGGUCAGUGUUAUUUUAUUAUGACAUCAUAUCUUAAAUCAUUGUAAUCAGGAAUAUUUGGUCAACACUGUUCAUAUUGUCUCGACGGUUAUUAUCGAUUCUCAGUUCGAGAUUGUCUUCCGAUAGGAUGAGAAGGAAAACGUUGUGAUGAAAUACAGUGGUCAAUGUAAAUGUAAACCGUUCGUUUCAACCAAUCAUCAACCUUAUUAUUGGCAAUUACCAAAAGAGUUUAUUGGAGAUAAAGUUAAUUCUUACAAUGGUUUUCUCUCAUUUCGAAUUCCCUGAUUCAGUUCACAAUCGUUAUCCUUUGUUCAUCAUGAUGCUGAAAAUCUUCUCGAUUAAAUAAAUGAUUGAUGCGCUUCGAUAAUUUUGAAUGGAUGAUGCAAAAGGAGGAUUCUCUUUGGAACGAGAUAAUUUCUGAGCUGAACAAAUUAUCGCCGAAUUGAAUUUGAAAAACUAUCGACCUCGAAUUGAUGAAGCCUCGAGAGAAUCGAUUAUCAGAGACUUUACUUGAGAAGAUAAUUAGUCUUCUCUGAUCACCGAAUGAUGAUCGAGAUUUUCGCAGAAGAUUGGAUCGAUUGCAACAAAGAUUAGCAGAGAUUUUCAACAUUGUUCAAACUCGAGUACAAAGACCAGUCGAGUUAACAUUGAAUCGAAUCAAUUAAGGACAACGAAUUCGUGAUCGGGUGAUUGAAGUUCUAAGAAUCAGUUCUGAUCAUGCAUCUCAAGCCGAUUCUAGUGAUUACAUGAAGCUGCUCAACUAAUUAAUGCUGCUGGUGUUGGUCGCUGUGACUGUACGACAUGGACUAGUUCCUGAUUUUCACUGAAAUUGUAACAAAACGUGAUAUUGUAUUUCUUUGAGAAUGUUAACGGAAUGGAAGCCUUGCUAUUGGAAGUGAUUGAGAAACGUUCCCUUGGAUCCACGAGUUUUUCUGGUAGACACCGAGUCCAGUUGAUUGACUGACUAAAGGAAAAGUAAAUUUUGAGUGGCUUGUAGUUGACUAUGAAAAAUAAUUGAUCUGAGUUGACAAAUUUCUAGUGAGGGUCAACAUGGAUUCAUGAAGACAUGAGCUAACUAAAGGCUCCAAGUCUCAUAAACUCCAAUUUCAUUUCAUCUAAGUCCAAUCAGCUGAUAACCCUUAAAACAUUGAAUCUUUGAGGACUAACGGUUAAUUUUAAUCGACAGCGAUGAUUUUCGUGUUUACAGGGUUCAAGUAAAGAUCAAUGUAUCAAAGUGACUUCAAAUCUAUAGAAUCAACUGCUUUUGGUUCUUACAUAAGUCAAUCCUGGAAAUUCACGGAUAUGUUAUGUGGGUUUAAUGUUUCUACAUUUCGAUCAAUUAUUCGUGUUUCUCUUUGAAUAAAAAACAAUAUUUAUCAUUAUA